CCUGUUUUAUUUCAAAAAGAAAUACCACUUGCGCCAAGUCUAGAAUCUUGAAAGAGAACUGAUGGGUGGCGACUUUCUGGGUUGUUUGAUGUUGUCUUAGGUGAGACUGAGACAGGCAGUCUUAGUAAAGUCAUAAUUUUUCAGGAGAUGCUACCGCUAAUGUACUAAGCUAAUAUGGCUGCCUUGUAUGCUUCAAGGAGGGGCUGUGAACACUUCCGACAUUAAUUAUAACCACAACCCCAUUCUGUUCAGCUACUGUAUUGUUCAGGUGACUUCAUUUAUGAAUUAAUUAAUAAAUUUAUUGUCAGUAUAACAUCAUCCAAAACACUGCUUCUCUUGAUAUACAAUAUUAAUUUACAUUAUUUUCUUUCUUGCUUUUUUCCCCUCUGAGUCAUUUGUGAUGUCUUUUGCAGCUCGAAGGAGAAUCCAGGCUCUCUGAUACUCAAAUGGAAAGAGUACAGAGCUUGGCAUAUUCAUGGGACCUUCUUUGCCCCACAGAGAACAAUAGGAAGUGGCUUUUUGAGAAGCUGUUACUUCAUGCAGUUCUUGGACGUGUCGCAAGACAAAUAAAGCAGCUUAGACGAGGCUUGAAAGAAACCCCAAUAUGGUCACUGGUAACUCGGCGGCCUGUUGCUGUACUGCUGCUUUUUCCAAGGGAGGAAACCUCCCUGUGUCCAGAGGUGGUACUUCAGCAUAUCACUUGGCCAGAAACAGAUGACGGAAGUGAUGAAGAUGACGACUGCUCAAAGGAAACCAGAUGCCGCAUUUCAGGAUAUCUGAAACAGUUAAUUGCAAAUGCCACACCACCUGAACUGAAAGAAAUGAUGAAAUUCUGGACCGGAUGGGAAAAUCUGCCAUCAAGUCUGUCUGUGGAGAUUGUUCAUGGAAACUACCCAACAGCUGCCACUUGCUA